UCUGGAUGACAAAUAUAACUGAAUCAGGUCAUUUAACUUACCAUAAUCGCCUCAGGCACCAGGCUUACCACUGAGGCCGAGGCCUCUCUUCCCAAAGAAGUACCUGGGAGGUUUGAGAUGAAGGGAUGGGACCAGGCUCCCCUUGAACAGUGACAACUGGCCCUGGGAUUCAGUGCCAAUUUUCUUGGCUGUGCCUGUCAGCUCUGCCACGUACCUCCCUUCUCCUCAACUCACUGGGAGCUUUUUACCGGCCUUCCAGACCAACCAGGAUGGGAGCCAAGUUGCAGGGAGGAGGGCUCUUGGGAAAGGUGGUAAAGAAAUGGCAGGGUUCUUUCAGCCAGGGGAUUAAGCCACCUCCCACUUUCAGCAAACGCAGAAUGUUGGCGGGGUUGGAGCAAGAAAGGCGCCAAGAGCCCGGACCUGGAGGCCAGACCAAAAAGUUGCGAACUGACGGCACCUACUGGCAACCGUUAAGACUGCAGGAGGGCUGACGUGUUCCGGCCGGACACAAGGACUCUCAGUCACAUCUCAAGGAUAAAGUUGGCUCCCCACUGUCCCAUCUGCCUUGGAGGAAGGUAAACAGAACAGGUUCUUCAAGCUCCUGAGGAAGCCAGCGUUUUUUCUGGUUCAAAAGCCAGUCCCUGCUCCCUCCCGCCCCCCCCUUCUUCCUUAAAUCCAGUCGGCCUUCUACUUAAUGGAUGAACUUGAAGUCUAUCUCUAGCUAAAAAAAAAAAAGACUGAUUAUGACCCCCUAUCCACCCACCUCUUGGAACUCCUGUGGGAAUAAAUGGACCCAUAAGGACAGUUUUGAAGUCCAGUGCCCAACUCACCUGCCAGACAGCAAACCCAGGAUGCGUAGAAACGCUGGGAUGAAGUAUGAGUGCUGGUGAAGGUGGCCGGUCUGUACAGAAUUCUAGAUGAGACAGAUGCCCCCACUCCUCAACCGCGGCACCUCCUCCGCCCCCAACCCAUCCUCUGGUGUCCUUCCCAUCACUGCCUAGAUUCAUUCCCAGGAAGCCAGAGACCAAAAACUGCUCUCUCCACAUAUGGUACGUUCACUAAGCACCUGUUGUCUUGAGAAUAAAGUGAAGAUCAAAACCA